GUCUACGGCCAUACCACCCUGAACGCGCCCGAUCUCGUCUGAUCUCGGAAGCUAAGCAGGGUCGGGCCUGGUUAGUACUUGGAUGGGAGAAAUAGGUGGUAUUGUGGGGA
rnacentral:rRNA from 1 species